rnacentral:rRNA from 1 species
GAUGAACGCUAGCGAUAGGCUUAACACAUGCAAGUCGAGGGGCAGCAUGGUCUUAGCUUGCUAAGGCUGAUGACGACCGGCGCACGGGUGCGUAACGCGUAUGCAACUUGCCUCACAGAGGGGGAUAACCCGUCGAAAGACGGACUAAUACCGCGUACACUCUAUGUUGGGCAUCCAAUGUAGAGGAAAUGAAAUUCGCUGUGAGAUAGGCAUGCGUCCCAUUAGCUAGUUGGUGAGGUAACGGCUCACCAAGGCGACGAUGGGUAGGGGAACUGAGAGGUUGAACCCCCACACUGGUACUGAGACACGGACCAGACUCCUACGGGAGGCAGCAGUGAGGAAUAUUGGUCAAUGGGCGAGAGCCUGAACCAGCCAAGUCGCGUGAAGGAUGACCGUCUUAUGGAUUGUAAACUUCUUUUAGACGGGAAUAACAAGAGUCACGUGUGGCUCCCUGCAUGUACCGUAUGAAUAAGCAUCGGCUAACUCCGUG